rnacentral:snoRNA from 1 species
CUGCAGUCAAAUAAGCCCUGUGUGCAAUGGCUGCAAAGAGCAGCCUCCUAGGCGGUGUCUGCAGCCUGUAACCAGUAUAGGUUGCCUUAAGGGACCGUGGAGACAGCA